GCAGGCUGGACAGGGAGUUCCCCAUGGGGGCUCCAGGGCCUUUGAAGCAAACACUGAGAACCCAAGCCGGAAAUGAGAUCCACCCAGAGCCAUCUCCCUGCUUUGGUCUGAGGUGGGGUCCUCCCACCCUCAGGAACACAGAGAGCCCGGCCCCUCCCCCACUUCAAAACUGGCUCCCUCUCACAAGCCACCCCUGAAAGCUGAUCUCCACCAUCCAGAGAACCCCUGGACUCCUAUCUCUACCCAAGGCCACCCAGGGCUCUGUGCCCACGGCCUGCCGCUGACCCAGCGUCCACUCCUCCCACACUCCACUCCUGCGGGAGGCCUGGCUGUCCCGCCUCUGGGCAAGGAUUCAAGAUGGGAGAGGCUGACCCAGAACAGAAGCCACCCCCUGUUACCUGACUUCAUGCGAUCUGGGGGCCCACAACACCUAAGCCCUGGGAAAGAUUCUGAAGACAUCAGGCUCCUUUAAAUUCCCCCAGCAUGACCUGGAGUUCCCUGCAAGGGGCCAAAGGUGCCAGGGCCUGUCCUCACUGAUAUUGAGACCUGCGAUUUGUCCCCAUGAAGACACAAGGCCGCUUGUGGAUGCCCUACAUCCACCGGGGUUGGUUGCAGCCUGACAGCCUGGAUUCUGGUAGCAGCUCGGAGAAGCCCCAGGUGCCCACGGAGGCCAGAGGCAUCAGAUCCCCUGGAGCUGGAGUGACCAGCAGUUGUGAAGCACCCAACAUGGGUUCUGGGACUCAAACCCAGGUCCAGUCUCUCCACCCAAGCCCCAAGCCACUCGUGUGUGUGUGUGUGUGUGUGUGUGUGUGUGUGUGUAUCUGUGUUUGUAACGGAUGUUCAUUUCUCUCUCUUUCUCUCUCUCUCUCUCUCUCUCUCUCUCACACACACACACACACACACAUCUAGGAGCGUGUCAGUUUGACUAGAUUGGCUGGUCAGCAAGUCCUAACAAUCCUCCCUCCUGUCUCAGCCUCACAGUGCUGGGAUUACAGGGUCCUGCCACUUUGGCCAGCUUUCCUCGUGAGUGCUGGGGAUCCCAACUCUAGUCCUCAUUGUUUUCAAGGCACUUCACUCACUGAGCCAUGUCUUCCACCCCUUAUUUAUUGACUUACCUACUUACGUACUUAUUUUAGUUUUUUUCAGCACAGGAUUUCUCUGUGUAGCCUUGGCUGACCUGGACUCACUUUGUAGACCAGGCUGGCCUUGAACUCACAGAGAUCAGGCUCCCUCUGCCUCCCUGAGUGCUGGGAUUACAGGCUUGCACAACCACACCCAGCCCUUAAUUAAAUAUAUAUAUAUAUAUAUGUACCCUCUGUUGGGGCUAGGGAGAGAAGUCAAUGGUUAAGAGCACUUGUUGCUCUUGCAGAAGACCUGGGUUCAACCCCCAGCACCCACAUGGUGGCUCACAACCAUCCCUAACUCCAAAAUCCUCCUCUGAUCCCCUCAGGCACUAGGUAUGCACAUACUGAAUGUACAUUCAUGCAGGCAAAAUACUUAUACACAUAAAAUGAAAUAAACCAAUAAA